AACUGAUACUACCUGCGGGAACCUGCGGAAGGAUCAUCAUUGAAAACAUUAUUUGCCAAGGGGUUUCUUGUUUUUGGGAGAGGAGAGGGGGGAGCAGAAAAACUCUGCAUCUCGCCGAGGCUUGAUCUGGACGGGGGGCCUCUUGGACAAACAACCAAUCUACAUGACUAGUAACACACACACACACUGGGUUGGUUGGGGGGGGCUAGCAAAAGUUCUUGUCUGACAAGUAGCUUGCUG
rnacentral:misc_RNA from 1 species